GUACCCAAUUUUAGUCAACCCAUGCAACAUAGGGUGUUUGCCCCUGUUUGCUUUCCUUUUCUCACCAGACAUCUCUGCCAGCAUGAUCCGCCAAACUCGCCGAUCGCGUCUGCUCUCGCGGACUAGAGAAAUUGAAAUUUAAUUCCAAGUUCUGUAUUGCUCUAUAAUUGAAGGUCUUCUACUCCCUAAAAGGCUGAUUAACACCAACAACCACAACACCAACAAGGACUACCGCAGCUUAGGUACAAUUAAACAACCAUAAUUCCCAAGUUUUGAUUAUUAUUUUUUACUAAUUUGCUAUCUUUUAAAUAUAAUCAUACCAUCCGUGUUGAUAUGAACAGUCCAUAAUGUGUUUAUUGUGUUGAAAGAUGCGGAAAAAAAUGAAAAAUUUGGUGUGAGUUUGUUGCGUUUUGGUUUAAUCGUUUGGGGAAUGUGGAGUUGUUACUUCAAAAUUGAAAUUUAAUGGGAAUGCCAUGAUUGAAAUUUUAUAGCAAUGAUGAAUGAGCCAAUUUGAAAUACCAAAUUACAACUGAUGAACUCACUCCUAUAUGACUAUUACUGCAUAUACUCAUCUUUUAUUUCGUUGGGUUUUAUUUUUAUUUCAUUUUUUUUGGUUUCGCAAAGAACUGAAUUUUAUCUUAUCUAUAGCUCUAUACGCAUGUAGUUUUUCUCUUUUUUGGUUUCGAGUAUGUGGUUGGUUUUAUUUAACAAUCUUUUGGAAUAUAGAGAAUCUUUGCAUCAAUGUCUUAUUCUUGGAUUUCCUGAUGAUUUGGCAUUGAGAUGUUAAGCAAAGGUGUCCCAUGGGAACCACAGAUUGUUCGAAACUAUCUCAAAGAAGUGGAGAGAUUUGUUACGUAGCUCCAGACUAUGCCAACUAUGAAGCUCUAGAAAAAUGGUGCGGAAAUUGGCUGUUUGUCAUUGAUGAGGUAUAAUCCAAUAGCUAAUAAGUAUGCUCCUAUAUUCGACACUUUAAUUAUGUCUAGAACUAAUGUUGUUAUUACUACUUUCAUUUUUACAGAAGGAAAGGUUUUUUGUUCUUCAUUUCUUGCUAUAUCAUCUAGGGUUGUGCAAACUAUUCAUUAUAGGGGAUCCCUUCAUGUAUAUAGUUGUUUCUUGCUAAGAUUUCCGCAAACUAUUUUUGUUAUGUCGAAGUUGAAAUCUUUUUUUACGAUUGUAAAUAGAUUUCACAUGUAUGCAAAUAGUAUAUAUACACAUUAUAACUUUCUACAUA